UUCUAAAGCAUAGAGGAAGUUCAUUCAUGAAGCAAUUUUGUAUUGCGUUGUGAAUGAAUUUUCCUUUGUGUUUAAGAAUUCGUGACACUUCCAUAGGAGCUGCGUCGCCGGUAAAUUUCUUACAGUGGAGGGUUCCGCAGAGAGCAAGGAAGUUACCUAAUGAUCUUAUUUCUUUCUCUCAUCUUGUGUUAUCCGAAAUCAAAGACUUCGUGUUUUCAUCAUUGAUGCUUUCUUUCCUCUCAUUCGCUUUGUUAUUUUUAUUACUUAAAGUUACAUCUUCACAACCACGUUUUAAUGCAGUUGCUUGAUUGACGUUUGAUUUUGGCAUCCCCUCUAUGAAUUGUUCUUAUUGAUCAACAAUGGCGAUCCAAGUGAACUGCUCUCAUUCCAACACUCUUCCCAAGAACGCUUCUCUUUUAACUAGCAAAAAGCAGAAUGUAUCAAUUGAAAGAGGAGAACAAUCGUUGAAAUAAUUGAUCAUAAAGAAGACUCAAAGUCAUGAAAAUGUUACAGAAAGGAAACUAUUUCAAGAUUCCAUGAAGAAAGCUUCAAUUUCUGCUGAAAAUCAAGAUGGAAAAGAAAACAAAUGUUUCAUUCAGGUGCAGACUUCACGUCUUUAGUGCAUCAAAGAAUUCAGCAGCUGCUAAAUUUGGAUCACUAUCUC
rnacentral:lncRNA from 1 species